CGGGUCUGAAAUUUACUAUAUUAGUAAAUUUUGGGUCUGAAAUUUAACCAUAUUGGCAAUUGGUACCAAAUUUACCAUAUUGGUAAUUGGUAAUUAUGGGUCUGAAAAUUACCAUAUUGGCAAAUUCUCAACUCCUUUUUUAAGGAAUUUGCUAAUGUAAGUGUUCUACUGUAUAAGAAAUACAUUCAGAAUGCAAGGAUUGAAUCAAAUGAUCCAACCCUAAACACAAGAGAAAAAUUACAACUCAAUUAAAGUCUCACGUUUGCAGGCUGACAAAUUGAAUUUAGUCUUUCUGCAGGCAUCACAUCAGGAACUGAAGUUUAGUGGAAACUGUUAUGUAGGUAGUAAACUUGUUAAAAGGAAAAAAAUUGUAAUAGCUGAUACCAAUGAUUAGAUCCCAUAAUAAAACUACAAUUUCUGAAAUAAGACUGCACAUUCAAGUAUCAAAUAUAUGUCAUACAGAA
rnacentral:lncRNA from 1 species